rnacentral:rRNA from 1 species
UUUUAUUUAUUUAAAAAAAUAAAAAUAGCACUUUAGAGUUAAUUAAUAGAGGUACAGCUCUAUUAAUAAAGGAUACAACCUACACAAUGAAUAAAGAUUAUAUUAAUAAAAGAAAUAAACCAUGUAGGCCUAAAAGCAGCCACCACAAGAAAGCGUCAUAGCUCAACUUAACAAACCCCCUUAUUAUACUAAUAAAAAAAUCUAAAUUCAUAAAAUAUAUCAAAUAYAUCUACUAAGUAGAUGAAUUUAUACUAGAAUGAGUAACAAGAACAAAUUCUCUUUAUGCAAGCGUAAAUCAGAACGAAAAAGUCACUGAUAAUUAACAAUAUAAAAUAUCCAACAACAAGAAAAACACAUUAAAACAAUUGUUAACCCGACACAGGAGCAUUAAAAAAAGAUUUAAAGAUUAAAAAGGAACUCGGCAACCAAGAGCUCCGCCUGUUUACCAAAAACAUCGCCUCUUGCCCCACAAGUAUAAGAGGUCCCGCCUGCCCAGUGAUUAAUUUUAACGGCCGCGGUAUCAUGACCGUGCAAAGGUAGCGUAAUCACUUGUCUUUUAAAUAAAGACCUGUAUGAAAGGCAAAACGAAAGCUCAACUGUCUCUUUAAUCUAAUCAGUGAAAUUAAUCCCUCCGUGCAGAAGCGGAGAUAAUUAUAUAAGACGAGAAGACCCUAUGGAGCUUUAAAUAUAAAAUUAGUUAUACACUAAUACUAACCAACAGGUAAAAAAUAAAAACGUAUAGUUAUAGUUUAAAUUUUCGGUUGGGGCGACCACGGAAGAAAAAACAUCCUCCGAGAUAGGUAAUUUAGAAUUACACUUCAAAAAUUAAAACAUUUAUUAUAAAUGAUCCACUAAGUGACCAACGAACCAAGUUACCCUAGGGAUAACAGCGCAAUCCUUUCUAAGAGUCCCUAUCGACGAGUGGGUUUACGACCUCGAUGUUGGAUCAGGACACCCAAAUGGUGCAGCCGCUAUUAAAGGUUCGUUUGUUCAACGAUUAAAGUCCU